UACGUAGGGGGCAAGCGUUGUCCGGAAUCAUUGGGCGUAAAGAGCGUGUAGGCGGCCUGGUAAGUCCGCUGUGAAAGUCCAGGGCUCAACCCUGGAAUGCCGGUGGAAACUGUCAGGCUCGAGUCCGGAAGAGGCGAGUGGAAUUCCUGGUGUAGCGGUGAAAUGCGCAGAUAUCAGGAGGAACACCAAUGGCGAAAGCACUUUACUGGGCUAUCACUGACACUGAGAGACGAAAGCUAGGGUAGCAAAUGGG
rnacentral:rRNA from 1 species